UAGGGAAUAUUGGUCAAUGGGCGAGAGCCUGACCCAGCCAUGCCCGCGUCCAGGAAGGACGGCCUUUUUGGGUUGUAAAUCUGUUUUUAUACAGGAUCAAAAAGCUCCAUGCGUGGGAAACUGAGUGUACCGUGUGAAUAAGCACCGGCUAACUCCGUGCCAGCAGCCGCGGUAAUACGGAGGGUGCAAGCGUUGUCCGGAUUUAUUGGGUUUAAAGGGUGCGUAGGUGGUCGAUUAAGUCAGUGGUGAAAUCCCAUAGCUCAACUAUGGAACUGCCAUUGAUACUGGUUGACUUGAGUACAGAUGAGGUAGGCGGAAUUUAUGGUGUAGCGGUGAAAUGCAUAGAUACCAUAAAGAACACCGAUAGCGAAGGCAGCUUACUAAACUGUAACUGACACUGAGGCACGAAAGCGUGGGGAGCGAACAGGAUUAGAUACCCUGGUAGUCCACGCCGUAAACGAUGAUUACUCGAUGUAUGCGAUAUACAGUAUGCGUCCAAGCGAAAGCGUUAAGUAAUCCACCUGGGGAGUACGCUCGCAAGAGUG
rnacentral:rRNA from 1 species